rnacentral:rRNA from 1 species
UACGUAGGGAGCAAGCGUUGUCCGGAAUCAUUGGGCGUAAAGCGCGCGUAGGUGGCCCCAUAAGUCCGCUGUGAAAGUCAAAGGCUCAACCUUUGAAAGCCGGUGGAUACUGUGGGACUAGAGUACGGAAGAGGCAAGUGGAAUUCCCGGUGUAGCGGUGAAAUGCGCAGAUAUCGGGAGGAGCACCAAUUGCGAAGGCAGCUGCUGGGACGAUACUGACGCUGAGGCGCGAAAGCGUGGGGAGCAAACAGG